UACGUAGGGGGCAAGCGUUGUCCGGAUUUAUUGGGCGUAAAGAGCGUGUAGGCGGCCAGGUAGGUCCGUUGUGAAAACUCGAGGCUCAACCUCGAGACGUCGGCGGAAACCCUCUGGCUAGAGUCCGGAAGAGGAGAGUGGAAUUCCUGGUGUAGCGGUGAAAUGCGCAGAUAUCAGGAAGAACACCCGUGGCGAAGGCGGCUCUCUGGGACGGUACUGACGCUGAGGCGCGAAAGCCAGGGGAGCAAACGGG
rnacentral:rRNA from 1 species